rnacentral:lncRNA from 1 species
UUAGGAUUUAGGGUUUGAUUAGGGUUUGGCUAGGGUUUGGUUUAGGGUUUGGAUUAGGGUUUGGAUUAGGAUUUAACUUAGGGUUUAGGAAUUAUUAGGGUUUAAAAUUUAAAUAGGUUUGGUCUAAAGUUGAGUGAAAUUCAAUAGGAUUUUAACUAGAAUUAAAUUAAGGUUGAAUUGACAUAUAUUUGAGUAAAAUUUGUGAUCAUUCUAAUAUUUCUUUAAGAAUUUUAUUGUUUGUUUGAAAUUUCUUUGAGUUGUUUUGAAUUUGAUUAUGUUUUUUUACCAUUAUUAUAGUCUAAUUAGAGCAUUGUUAGUAUUCUAUUUAGGAUUUUGUUAUCGCAAUUUCUAUUCUUCCUUCUACAACCAAGUGCCCGGAGCAUUCUCAAGCAAGACUUCACA